rnacentral:lncRNA from 1 species
GCGAGCGAGCGGGCGGUCACGGCGGACACGCAGCCGGCGGGGGCGGGGAGCGCGGCCCCAGCGGCCGGCAUGAACCCCGGGCGGCCAGCGCUGCCCGCAGCGGGGACGGAGGCGGCGGUGCCGAGGGAGCCGCAGGGGGAGUAGAGCUGCCGCGGCCG